GAACGCUAGCUACAGGCUUAACACAUGCAAGUCGAGGGGAAACGGCAUUAAGUGCUUGCACUUUUUGGACGUCGACCGGCGCACGGGUGAGUAACGCGUAUCCAACCUUCCCAUGACUAAGGGAUAACCUGCCGAAAGGCAGACUAAUACCUUAUGGUCUUCACUGACGGCAUCAGAUGUGAAGUAAAGAUUUAUCGGUUAUGGAUGGGGAUGCGUCUGAUUAGCUUGUUGGCGGGGUAACGGCCCACCAAGGCAACGAUCAGUAGGGGUUCUGAGAGGAAGGUCCCCCACAUUGGAACUGAGACACGGUCCAAACUCCUACGGGAGGCAGCAGUGAGGAAUAUUGGUCAAUGGGCGAGAGCCUGAACCAGCCAAGUAGCGUGCAGGAUGACGGCCCUAUGGGUUGUAAACUGCUUUUGUAUGGGGAUAAAGUCAAUCACGUGUGAUUGUUUGCAGGUACCAUACGAAUAAGGACCGGCUAAUUCCGUG
rnacentral:rRNA from 1 species